CCUACGGGAGGCAGCAGUGGGGGAUAUUGCACAAUGGGGGAAACCCUGAUGCAGCGACGCCGCGUGGGCGAAGAAGUAUUUCGGUAUGUAAAGCCCUAUCAGCAGGGAAGAAGAAAUGACGGUACCUGAGUAAGAAGCACCGGCUAAAUACGUGCCAGCAGCCGCGGUAAUACGUAUGGUGCAAGCGUUAUCCGGAUUUACUGGGGGUAAAGGGAGCGCAGGCGGUAAGGCAAGGCUGAUGGAAAAGCCCGCGGCCCAACCGGGGGACUGCAUUGGGAACUACCGGGCUGGAGUGCCGGAGAGGGAGGUGGAAUUCCUAGUGUAGGGGUGAAAUCCGUAGAUAUUAGGAGGAACAACAGGGGCGAAGGCGGCCUACUGGACGGUGACUGACGCUGAGGCUCGAAAGCGUGGGGAGCAAACAGGAUUAGAUACCCGGGUAGUC
rnacentral:rRNA from 1 species